CUGAACGAAACGAAGCGCCGAGAGUCUGCGAAAAUCGUUUAAAUAGUCCGUCAACGUCGCUACCUGGUGGCCAGACAUCGAACGAGGAAAAGUCUGGCCGGAAGCCAGUGGUCCCGGACGUCGCAAAAGGGAGGUUAGGUCGGCCCGAAACGAUAAAAGAAGUCAUCUUUGUCGCCAUUUUUGUUCUUCGAUCUCGGUACCGGAAGUGUUCUGCUAGCGAAGCUCGAACGCAAACUUUAUUAAGUCUAUCCACGAAAAAUGACAGUAUUGUAAUUUCGACGAUUGCAAUGUAAACAUGUUACGUUUGUAUCGCGGACGUAGAUCAUUAUAAAUUGGAUGAAUGCAUCUAUAGUAGGAAAAUCAAGAGAAAGAUUAAAAAUAAUUGAUCUGUAUGAUGGACUUUAUAUUUCUCUUGUUUUAAUAAUAAAAUAGCGAACAAUAAAACGUACUAUUAUGUA